GGAAAUUUUCCCGUGUAAAUCUUCUCUACAGCAGACUGACCUAGGGUUUUGCGGAGACGGUGGUGAAGAAGAGAAAUGGCGAGUAGAAGCGACGACUACCGCUUCCUUCAGUUAGUAGACGCCAUGGCUUCGAUCAAUCAGAAAGUGAAUCUCAUCGGAGUCGUCGUCGAGACGAGUAUCCCGAAACAGUCAAAGGGCACUGAUUGUUUUUGUACCAUUAAAAUUGUUGAUGAAUCAUAUUCAAGUCCUGGGAUUUCAGUCAAUAUUUUUGCUCAAAAUAUGGAGACACUCCCUCAUGUUGAGUCAGCAGGAGAUAUAAUUCAGCUUUCUCACGUGCAGAUGAAAACUCAUGGACGGGAAGUAUACGCACUUUUUAACAAAAAGUUCUCUUCAUUUGCUCUAUUUGAAGGGAAUUACAGUGCAAACUUUGCUCCUUACCAGUUAUCUCCAAACUUUCGGCCCAGAGACCAAGACAAGAAGUUCAUAGUGGUCCUAAGAAAGUGGUCCAUCGACUAUCUUGAUAGAGUAGACGCAAAUGAAUUCUUAUCAUUGAAAGAGAUCAGGGUGGGAAAACGCCUAAAUUUGAUGUGCAAGGUUCUUCAUAGCUAUGAAGUUCUAAAAAAUGAGUGGGUGAUAUUCAUUUGGGAUGGAACUGAUGCUCCACCAGUUACUAUUCAAUCAAAGCUAGAUGACGAAAUGGAGAACUCGCUACCGUUACGGUUUGAACCAUUUCCCUUGUCAAGGGAUGUUUUAUGUGCAUUCCCAGCUGUUGGAACUGUGUUGAGGGUUAUGGCUGAUCAAGGCAAUGAGAAGCUUGGCCUUCACUUGCUAAAACGUGGUAGAUGGGUGAAAUUUGUUAAUAUGGUCUUUGAACUUCAUGGUGGACUGUGGCAUGGUUUGCUGAUGCCCUCUACUAAACUCCGAUACUUGCCCAAUGAUGACCCUCUCGUGCUGCAGUCGCAAAGGAAUUAUGAGGAGCGGUUGUCAUCAAAAUGGGCACGUAUGCCUUUGUCGAGCUUUCCAUGGUGUUCUCAUAUAACAGAUUUAGCAGAAAGAGAGGCAUUUGCCAAGAUAGGUGUCAAUUGCAUAUAUAAGAGAGGGAACUCAACAGUCCCCUGGUUUGUUUUUUGUUUGCUUGUGGUUUUAAAUAUUUCUAAAAGCCAUAUGAACUUAAUCUGCCGGAACCCAACCCCACCUUUAUACAAAUGGAGUAUCAAACUCCUCCAUAGGAUUUGAACCCAUAUAACUUCACACGACGAAGUGGAGCUAGUGCGCCACUGGAUCAACUGAUUCAACUGGUCCUCUACUUUGAGGCAUUUUUCGUACUUUUUUUUUGCGCUGAUUAUACUCUUUUUGGUUUUUUGUUGUACAUCUGUUUUAGGAGAUUUAUACUAUAGGUUGGCAACACUAGCAUAUUCAGCUUUUGUGUGGUAUAGACAGGAAUUUAAUUUUGGUUCACGCCAGUAGACGAAAUGGUCAUCUGCUUUGAGGAAUUUUUAAACUCAUUUCUUACAGUGAUUACAAAUAAUUUUCAAAACUGAAACCCAAUCAAAGCCACUAUUGUUUUACUUUUCUUUGAGGAGAGACUUGUGCUAUAUGUUGGCUACACUGCUAUAUACAUCUUUUCUUUUGAAAUAGUUACUAGACAGGAAUUUCCAUUUGGCUCUUCAGGCACUUUCUUUGAGCCAUUUUCAUUCACAAGUCUUCGUUGGUUAUACUUGUUAUGGCUUGUUUUAAUUCUUCUGAAAUAUGAUCCAUGCUAAAAGAUGAAAAUGGUGUUAGGUAUGCCUGUUCGUUGAAAAAUUAAUGAGAAAAUUACCUCUAAGGAUAGAAAAGUGCAUGUCAAUUUCCAUUAAGAAUGAACUCAGUUUUUAUUUACCUCUAAUGACGAUCACAUUAUGAAGAUUAUCCUUUUACCCUUCAAUAAAUACAAUUUCAUACUUUAUUUUUUUUCUUCCUAUUAUAGGGUAAGCUAGGGUGCCCUAGGGUUUAGGCACUUUCAUAGGGUUUUAGAGUGCACUUUUCUAUUAUAGGGUUUUAGUAUUUAGGCACUUUCAUAGGGUUUAGGGUUUUAGGCACUUUCAUAGGGUACCUUAGGGUUUAGGUUUAGGCACGUUUUAGUGGUUUAGGCACUUUUAUAGGGGCAAUUUUGAAAAAAUAUUCCAGAAAUACUUAACGGUGCAUUUCCGUUUUUUUCUGAAUCUACACGUAAAAACCCCAUAGUUAAUCUGGUGGAACUUCUUAGGUGUCAAGGAAGUAUCAGGCUGAUGUUUUCAGUUGUUGAGGGAGGUUUAGGUGAUGGUGGCAAAUUACAGUCAUCCACUUGUAGUGGUGACAAUGGCAGUGAGAUGGAAUAAGGAAUUUUUGCUUCAGAUGUCAGUUUGUCUUGUCUUCAAAUUGAGAACAUCUCUUCUCUUUAUAAUUGUGUUUGUAUUUUGCCGUCUACCUUUUACUUCAGCACUUUUGUUUUCCUUCGAUUUCUGGUACAGGUAGAUAUCCUUCCGAUGACAAAGUUCAUUACUUUUAGCCUUCAUAUUUGAAUAUUUGGGCUCGCUUGUCUCCAACUCUUUUUUCUGUUCUUUUCUUGGUGUUUGGAUUUCCUUUGGGAAUUUGUCAGUUGUGUUCUAAAUUGAUUUCUGAACGAAGCCAACCUGUUUAUCAGCCAAACUGGGGUGGGUUUUUGUCUGUCUGAAACUCUGGAUACUCUGACUUAAAUGAAAUGCAACAAGACUUUGAUUUUAUUUCACAUGUUCGAGAUUAUGAUCAAUAUGAUAUAUUGUGUAUCAAAUAUAGUAGGGUGAAGUAUCAAUACAUGUUAAAAAUUCAGAGUGUAGGUUAGAAGUGAGUGUGAGCAAAUUGGAAUGAAUUAUUAGAUUUUAAUGGAAAGUUCAUUAUUAUUAUUAUUAUUAUUAUUCAUUUUAAGUUACUCAGCAGAUGAAUGUUCUGUUAGGUUUUCUAUUUAAGUUCUGGAUUUGAAAGCAACUUUAAUUUCAGCAACCUAAUGUCACCUCUAUGUUUCAUCUCCGUGAAUCUUUACU